UGGCCAGUCUGAGAUUUUUGGCAAUGUAGUUCUUUCUUUAAAGCCAUUCCUCACAAAAAUAUCAGCUCUAAACUUUCACUCAUCUCUAUUGUUAAGGAGAACAGGGAUGUUUUUACCCAGAUAUAAAGCAAACAUAUUAUCCAGUUAUUUCAACAUGUAAUAUUUCAUAAAUGUAGCCUGUCUUAAAAUUAUUAUCAAAUCAUUCCUGCUCUUACUCUCUUUUUGAAGAAGUAGUAAAAUUUCAAAAUAAUUUUGAUGAUUGACAGGAAGAGAACAAAAAUAUUAUCUAUAUAACCAAUGACGAGUCAUCAGUAAAUAAUAGUACAAAUGGAACAAAGUGAUUUCUCUACUGCUAAUGAAAAUGACCAUCUUGGAAAACCUCAUAGUUUCUCUUGAAUAUAUCAACAAGAUAGAGAAACAGUAAUUACCAGCAUAGAAUGAUGACGGCAAGAAUCCCAAGUCCGGGAUUGAUGAAUCUAUGCAUCAUUUUGAGGUAUUCUAUCCAGAAAAAUACAAAUAAAUAUAUUCUUCAAAAAACUAACAACUGUGUUUUAUAUGAGAUUGCUAACACCCAAUAAAAAGGAAAAGGUAAAUUUCAAUCACCAUAUAUGUGUGUGCAUAUUUAUUAGUAAUCUAUAUCCUUUUUGUAGAAAAAAAUCUAGAUGUAUUUAUAAAUCAGGCUUCUGAAGUGUUUUAAAAUUCUGAGUUCAAAUAAAUUUUAACUCAUGGUUUAAAAAUUACUCAUUAAGAAAUUUUCUGUUGAUUCGUGUGGAUUGCAAGAAAGUUAUAGUUUGAUGCUAGAUCAGUUUGGAAAAAUAAAAAUUACUUUUGUUGCAGAAGUAUAGAAAAUAAACUACUAAAACACUUAGCAGAAACUAAUUUCUUUACUACCAUCUGUGCUGACAAAAACCAUAUAGUCCGCCUCUUGGUCAAUCAGUUUGUUUGUUCAGUAGUAAGUGUUCUGGAACUAUAGACCUGAGAAUGUGAUUAUUAACUUUUUUGAUACUUAUGUCUACACUUUUUAAAACAGAUAUGUCUUAUACAGUGUCUCCAAGUUUAUAAGAAUGCCUUUUUUAAUCUCCUGGGAGUUCAGACCAAUGUCCAGAAAACCUGAAAGAGUGGAGUGUUUCUAUAGCUAAAGAAAUACACUUUCCAUCAUGACUUUGCUGUAAUAUUGCCAUUUACCUAGGAAGUGUCCUCAGAUGAACUAGUGAAAAGAGCUUAUUUCUCCUAGAUUAUAAAGCCAGAGUGUAUUUAUUUAAAGCUGCUAUGUCAACAGCUUUUAUACAAAUAGGAUGUGUUAAAACACAGUGAAAAUAUAUUUAAAAACUCAUAGUGGCAAUAAGGAAUUAAAUUUUUGAGUGAAGUUUUGAAAAUAAAAUUCCACACUAUAGUACGACAUAUAGUGUAACAUCUCUAUUCUCCUUCCAUUCACUUUUCAUAUUCAGGGGAUUUCAUCUCUGAUCUUUUUGUCAGGUGUUUUAUGUGCUUACUGACUUCAUGUUUCCAUCCAUCUCUCUGGUUUCACUUUUUCUCAACUAUAUAACCUGUAACAAAUUUAUAUGUGUGUGUGUGUAUGUACAUUCUAUUUAUAUAUAUUCUACACAUAUAUUCUCUCUAUAUUAAACAUAUAUUUUUUUCAUUUCUUGAACUAUACCACUGUAAGCCAACCUGCAGACCCAAUGAGACUGCCUAUUGACAUAUAUAGUCAGCUAGGUCUGCAAAUACGGAGUAUAACUCUGGACACUUCAGGCCUCACUUCAUGUGUCUCCAGCGGAAUGCAAGGCAGCAUGACUGAUCCACAGGUGAGUAGCAUUGGAUUCUCUAGGAACACUACAGCAGAGUUUAUACAAAUUCAUAGCUUAAAGGAGAAACAAACAUACGGAGCCUGGAAAAGGUUGGGACCAGAGCCAUCAUGAUGCCAUAGGUUAACCAACUGCAUAGGCACAUCUGGUAAGCAAUUGUAGUCCAUGAACCCUGUAAAACUGUAAACGUGGCCUGUUGAGCAUAAGGGCUCUUUAUAUCUGACAUUAUAUUGAUCAGGCUCUUGCUACUCCCUCCAGAGAGGCCCUUCACUGUGCUCUGUAAACAGAGAAGGAAGUCAGAGGCCCGCUCUUGCAUGCAGGCGGUCAGCAGCUCACCCUGAACUUGCUUCAGCCAGAGCACACUCAGGCGUCAUGGUCAGUGGAUAUCUUGGAGCUUCAAAGGUCUACAAUUUACUGACUGGUGACCUUGAAUAUGGCAUAGCAUUCUUAUCUAGAAAAUGAUGAUCUUCUUAACCAAUUUCCUAUACAAUGCAGAUUAUCUCACUUGAUCCUCACAAGAAUCCUAAGAAGUAAAUGUCAUUAUCAACAUUUUACGAUGAAGAAACUGAUGCUUAAAAAGGUUUAACAGG